UCGAAUCAGUAUAUUACACAAAAUAAGAAAGAUAGACUACCUGGUUCAAAUCGAUUGAUAGCAACGGGUGUGAAGAUUGUGCGCUGAGAUUGAGAGAGAGGAAUGUGGAAUUUUAGGCACUAAUUUCGGUUAGGCGCAACAGAAAUCUUCCACCUUCUUUUCCCACUACCCAUCUUCUUCUUCUUCUUCUUCUACUUCUUCUCUGAUGUUUCAGUUU
rnacentral:lncRNA from 1 species